rnacentral:rRNA from 1 species
UACGGGGGGAGCAAGCGUUGUUCGGAUUUACUGGGCGUAAAGGGCGCGUAGGCGGCGCAACAAGUCACUUGUGAAAUCUCCGGGCUUAACCCGGAGCGGCCAAGUGAUACUGUCGUGCUAGAGUGCGGAAGGGGCUACUGGAAUUCUCGGUGUAGCGGUGAAAUGCGUAGAUAUCGGAAGGAACAUCAGUGGCGAAAGCGACUUCCUGGACCAGUACCGACGUUCAGGCACGAAAGCGUGGGGAGCAAACAGG